rnacentral:lncRNA from 1 species
AAAUUUCUUUUUUCAAUUUUUCCAACCUAUUUUCUGUUAUCAUUUUUAAGACUGUAACUGGUUUAAAUUUUUCUGUACUCCAGCAUCCACCACGCUGGGUUGAGGAACUCUGAUGGUUUAUAUCUCUAUAUGCAAUUGUAAUAGCUUUAUUUAUUUUUGGUGUAAAUAUUUUAUGUGCACAAGGUGUUGUGAACAUAUACUUAUCAAUAUAUUGUGUAAAUGGUGCAAUUUUAAUAUGAAAUUUUGUCC